rnacentral:rRNA from 1 species
UACAGAGGGUGCGAGCGUUGUCCGGAAUCACUGGGCGUAAAGGGCGCGUAGGUGGUGGCUUAAGCGUGCGGUGAAAGCUCGGGGCUCAACUCCGAGUCGGCCGUGCGAACUGGGCUCACUGGAGCAUAGUAGAGGCAGGUGGAAUUCCGGGUGUAGCGGUGGAAUGCGUAGAGAUCCGGAAGAACACCGGUGGCGAAGGCGGCCGUGCUGGGCAUGGCUGACACUGAGGC